rnacentral:rRNA from 1 species
UGCCUUGCUGUCAGCUCAUAGCAAAGUAUUGGGUUAAGCCCCACGGGCGCAACCUUCAUGAUUACUUGUCAUAGUUGAGUUUUAGAUUUCAAAUAGACUGCCCAUGACAAACACGAAAAAGUUGAGGAUGAUGUUAAGUCAACAUA